GACGAACGCUGGCGGCGUGCUUAACACAUGCAAGUCGAACGGAAAGGCCUUUUCGGAGGUACUCGAGUGGCGAACGGGUGCGUAACACGUGGGUGAUCUGCCCUUCACUCUGGGAUAAGCCUGGGAAACUGGGUCUAAUACCGGAUAGGACCGCACUUUAGUGUGUGUGGUGGAAAGUUUUUUCGGUGUAGGAUGAGCCCGCGGCCUAUCAGCUUGUUGGUGGGGUAAUGGCCUACCAAGGCGGCGACGGGUAGCCGGACUGAGAGGUUGGUCGGCCACAUUGGGACUGAGAGACGGCCCAGACUCCUACGGGAGGCAGCAGGGGGGAAGAUUGCACAAGGGGCGCAAGCCUGAUGCAGCGACGCCGCGUGGGGGAUGACGGCCUUCGGGUUGUAAACUCCUUUCGCCAGGGACGAAGCGUUUUGUGACGGUACCUGGAGAAGAAGCACCGGCUAACUACGUG
rnacentral:rRNA from 1 species